UACGUAGGGAGCAAGCGUUAUCCGGAAUUAUUGGGUGUAAAGGGUGCGUAGACGGGAUUGCAAGUUAGUUGUGAAACCCCUCGGCUUAACUGAGGAACUGCAACUAAAACUAUAAUUCUUGAGUGCAGGAGGGGAAAGUGGAAUUCCUAGUGUAGCGGUGAAAUGCGUAGAUAUUAGGAAGAACACCAGUGGCGAAGGCGACUUUCUGGACUGUAACUGACGUUGAGGCACGAAAGUGUGGGGAGCAAAC
rnacentral:rRNA from 1 species